rnacentral:rRNA from 1 species
CUCGAGUGCCAGGUUACAAAUCUGGCUGUCGAGAUGCCUAAAAAAGCAUUUCAUAGCAAGGGCCGGGCAAGACCGGUGCCAGCCGCCGCGGUAACACCGGCGGCUCGAGUGGUAACCGUUAUUAUUGGGUCUAAAGGGUCUGUAGCCGGCCGGAUAAGUCUCUUGAGAAAUCUGGCAGCUUAACUGUCAGGCUUUCAGGAGAUACUGUCUGGCUCGAGGCCGGGAGAGGUGAGAGGUACUUCAGGGGUAGGGGUGAAAUCUUGUAAUCCUUGAAGGACCACCAGUGGCGAAGGCGUCUCACCAGAACGGACCUGACGGCAAGGGACGAAAGCUAGGGGCACGAACCGGAUUAGAUACCCGGGUAGUCCUAGCCGUAAACGAUACUCGCUAGGUGUCGGCCACGGUGCGACCGUUGUCGGUGCCGUAGGGAAGCCG